UUUUUUUUUUUUUUUUUUACAAGUUCGAAAUUGACUUAUUUGUGUAAAUUCUAGCAGUAAAAUGUGUAAGACUAAAUUUCAGAUGGAAAUUAUAUGGUAGUAUUCGUUCAUGAUUCAGAACUUAAACUAAAUGAUGAAAAUCUUACAAUCUAGACAAGUGUAGAUUAAAAUCUUGAAAUUGAUGCAUAACACUCCUAGCAUUAUGUGCCAAAAAAACCAAAAAAAAAAAAGACCGCAACAUUCUUGCUUUUGGUAUUUAGGUUAUACUUGCCAGGAAUUGGCUAAGUUUGAGUAAUCCUGUUAUAAAUAUAUCUGCUAUGCCUCGGAUAGUGGCUCAGUCAAAAAGGAUCUUCGAGUUUUAUUCUAAAUUUCAAUUAUAGAACAGGUUAAGCAUUGGAUUUGUGUGGAGUAAUAUUCAUCAAAUACUAGUUCUUAGAAUGGGAUGAUAACAUUGACAAGAAGAAACUAUUGACUUGUAAUUUGUAUACUUCUGAAACCUUGACAACUUCACGUUUGUAGGAAUAAAAAGAAAAUAAACCAAAAAGAAAACACCAGUAAUUACUAUACACUGUCAGUGUAUACACUAUUACCGUUAGAUAUAUGACACAUGUGUAAAAUUUGAAUUUCUUGGUCAUGUGUCAUUCAUCUAACUGUGAUAGUGUAUACACCAACAGUGUAUAUAAGAUUUAUUCAUUAGUAAUUGUCUAAUUUAGAUGCUUACGAGGUCUAUGGAAAUAGAGAAAAGAAAAGACAAAGAAAAAGGUUAUAAUAUAAGUUCAUUAAGGCUAAACCAUGCAACUUUAAUCGUUAUUCCAUUGACACCUGACAAAAAUAACAGACUAAUGUAGCUUAGUGUGACUAGUUCUUUCGUAGUGUACAAGAAAUUAUUCUAUAACCUACUAUAUAACCACUAUAUACUAUUUCAGAGGGAGGGGGAAGGUAGCCGACGGAAACUACCGUGGAGGAAGCCACUGAUAGUAUCGUGGCUGGUGGCAGAUCAAACCAGGCAAGGUUUGAUCCCCUGACCUCCCAUCCUCACCAAGACUUAAAAGUCGAUUUAAAGUCUUAGUGGUGACCAACAGCCCAAGUGGUUGUUGGCUUGAGUUCAUCCUAUCUAAGGAGUUUGCUUUUGUAUAAACAAUUUCUUCACUUUAUAUUAUUAUAAAAGAACCCUUUUUAUGAUUUAUGUUUAAACUACUCUCACCAUCAUCAUCAUCAUCAUCUUUUUCUUCCUUUCUCUCCACCACCAUCUUAAAUAAAAUUACUUCCCCCAGAAAAAAUGCAAUAAUCAUAAUAUUCUGAAUAAUUAAAUACAUAGGGCGUGAAAAAAAAAUGUUAGCCUUGGUAAGAUGUAGGACGGACAAAUUUUUUUUUUUUAGAUAAUUCAGAAACCUCCCCUGAGAUUUUUAACAUUUUCAUUGUUCUUUCCUAAAGGUUUGAAAAUAUCAGUUACUUUCCCUAUUAGUCGUUUAGAACUCAAUACUUACCUCAAUAAUAGUCAAAUGACUUUAUUACUUUUCCAAUUUAGGAGAUUUUAGGUAUCUAUAUAUAUGGGGAGAAACUAUUAUGCCUUGUUAACUAAAUUAAUGAUAUUUUAACCAGGAAAUCUUGAAUACUAAAUUUUUUAUUGAUAAUCGUUAACGUUUAAAAUUAUUUUUUCUAUAUUUUAGUAGUUGUUGUAAUUUCUUCCCCCAAAAAUAUAGAUAAAGAGAUAUUUAAUUCGUCUUCAUGUAUCAAUAUUUCAUAGAUAUUUCAUGAGAAUUACAAGAUGAUUACCCAAAAUACACUUUUUAAAUUUUCCUUUUUUAAGUAGGGGAUGGGUGGGAUUUAAAAGCGGGUAGGGGCCAAGGGGAUUUGAAUCUAAAAUUUCUAAUUCUUUAAAUCUCAACCUUAACCACUAAACCAAAACCUCCUCAAUAUACCCAAAAUAUACAAAAAGAAAAGAGAGUAAAGUAUUGAAAUAUGUUUACAAAUUAGAUCUUGUAUAGUAAUGGACAAAAUGUAACCAUACAUAAUCUUUUCACUUCCAUUUGUUUCCAAUAUAUUGGUGCUUCUUCUCUUCUCAUUCCAUAUAUAAUCCAAACAAGAUGGAUAGAAAUAUUUUUCCUCUACUUUUAUUUCGUCUCUUUCCACUGAAGUCAUUUCCUUUCCAUUAAUCCAAACAUUGCCUAAGAGUGAAGUCCUUUUUUGUUAUUACAAAUGAUGAGAAUUUCUUUGUCAAUCGUGCGAAAUAAUGACUCGUAAGUGACAAGAAUAAGUUGGAUCAUUUCUGAAUUGAAAAGCAUGACAUAAUUUAGCAUAUUUUAUACUGUUUAUUUUAUUAGUAUUUGAUCAUGGCGUUUCUUCUUGAGAAGGCCAUAGUUUAUGUCAUCUGAUUCUUGUUCAAACUCUCACAAAUUUCAGUACUAACUGCAGGAAUUCUAUUCCUAAAUCUUGAUUCCAAAAUAACAAAAUCCCCUCUCAAAUUCUUUGAUUUUACUAUUUUAUGUAUAUCUAUGGAAAGUAGACAGAAUUACUAAAUUAUGCUAUGCUUAUGUUGGUGUUGUAAUUUCCCUUAACGACAUUGACACUGACUGACUUUGGUCUUUAUUUUCCAUUUUUACCUAAUAUUCUCUUUUGAUUCUUAGUUAGCUAACUAGUUAACACUUGAGGGGCACAUGUGGAAUCAACUAUUCUUCUCAUUUUUGAAAUCUUUUUUUUUUUUUUUAACUUUGGCAGUUAAUGAUAUUUUUGAAACGUCGAGAGAGAGCAGUGAAAUUAUCAGAAAUCUUAGGAGACGUUUCUGAAAUCAUUCCUUAUUUUAGUAAUAAAUAGAUAAUGCAUGCGGAAAUAAGAGCAUUACCACGCAUUUUGCGUACUUGCUUGCCUACUGAUUCUAGACAUAGAAAAACAGUCCCCAUGCAUAUAUCACUCAAAAGUUUUUAUGUUCAAAAAGACAGUCUUGGAGAUUCAAUACAUUGAAUUAUCUUGUUAUUGUAAUUUGUAAAUAACACUACAUGUACACUGGUUUUUUGGUACAGAUGGCUCUGGAGGCCAUAAGUGCCCUUUACCAGCUGUCCACCCCAUAGUUUUGCAACAGGGAGAAGUGAACCUGUAUAAGAGAU
rnacentral:lncRNA from 1 species